AUUGAACGCUGGCGGCAGGCCUAACACAUGCAAGUCGAACGAGUGGCGGACGGGAGAGUAAUGUCUGGGAAACUGCCUGAUGGAGGGGGUUAACUACUGGAAACGGUAGCUAAUACCGCAUAACAUCAGAUGUGCCCAGAUGGGUUUGGCUUGGUGGUGGGGUAACGGACUACCAAGGCGACGAUCCCUAGCUGGUCUGAGGGGAUGACCAGCCACACUGGAACCGUGACACGGUCCAGACUCCUACGGUAGUCAGCAGUGGGAAAUAUUGCACAGUGGGCGAAAGCCUGCUGCAGCCAUGCCGCGUGUAUGAAGAGGGCCUUCGGGUUGUAAAGUACUUUCAGCGGGGAGGCGUUACCCGCAGAAGAAGCACCGGCUAACUCCGUGCCAGCAGCCGCGGUAAUAC
rnacentral:rRNA from 1 species